GACGAACGCUGGCGGCGUGCUUAACACAUGCAAGUCGAACGGAAAGGCCCUGCUUUUGUGGGGUGCUCGAGUGGCGAACGGGUGAGUAACACGUGAGUAACCUGCCCUUGACUUUGGGAUAACUUCAGGAAACUGGGGCUAAUACCGGAUAGGAGCUCCUGCUGCAUGGUGGGGGUUGGAAAGUUUCGGCGGUUGGGGAUGGACUCGCGGCUUAUCGGCUUGUUGGUGGGGUAGUGGCUUACCAAGGCUUUGACGGGUAGCCGGCCUGAGAGGGUGACCGGCCACAUUGGGACUGAGAUACGGCCCAGACUCCUACGGGAGGCAGCAGUGGGGAAUAUUGCACAAUGGGCGGAAGCCUGAUGCAGCAACGCCGCGUGCGGGAUGACGGCCUUCGGGUUGGAAACCGCUUUCGCCUGUGACGAAGCGUGAGUGACGGUAAUGGGGAAAGAAGCACCGGCUAACUACGG
rnacentral:rRNA from 1 species